rnacentral:lncRNA from 10 species
CAUCUCCUUUUCUCCCUUCUGUAACUAAAGAUUUGUACUAGGCUAUCUGAAUUCUCCUUCCCAGAUCCUAGAUUUUUAUACCCAUUGAUUCUAAGGAUUAAAGUCUUUAGGAGCCUUGUUGGAUGUCUAAUUCCUGUGCAGAUUCUGUAGAACUAAAAAUGGGUCCACUGACUGUAAUCUAAUGAGGCUUGGAGGCUGGGGGAAACCAUCAGGAGAAAGAGUAGCAGUGAGCGGGCAAAGAACAACGAAGUAUGGGAGAAAGAGCACUGGGUCAGGUGUUAGAGAAUUAGAAUCUAACUCAGGUAUGGGAUGGCUGUACAUAUAAUUUCUCCAUGGCAGCACUCAACUUUCUCACCAAUAAUAUUAGAAUGAAAUCGCUAGUGAAUUCAAAGCCUCUUCCAGUUCUACCUGAUAUGAUUUUGGUCUAUUUACUGGGCAUACUAUCCUGAAUUUAUUCUCUUCAGUGUUUGUUCCCCAGCCUGCCAAAAGGCCGCUCUCCUCCUUCAAUCUUUCUGACUUCUUUCUAUGAGUUCUGAACUUCGCUUCCCCUUUAGAUGCUAGCUUAUUAACCACUCUUAUACACUGCCUAGAAAUCCCAGAAUAAUACAAGAUAUUUGUCUGAAGGUCUUAGGGGUUCUUUCUGCAUCUACUGCUUUCAGAAUGACCAUAAUGAGGCUCCUGGGACCAACCAUAGGUUAAAGAAAAACCAUCUGGUGCUGAGAAUCCAAAGGCAGCGGGAAAUCCUCAACAGGAACUGGAGAGGUUGGAGAAAUAAUAGAGCAGAAGCCACCUGGAAGCAGGGGCCCAAACAACAGGGCAGGUUGUUAGCUGCAUUGCACAUAGAAGGGUAGAAGAGGAAGAAUGAUUUUACUUCUUGACAAAGAAGAAGAAGGAAAGACGUCUGCAGGACUGUGAGCUCUUGUUCUAGUCCUGUGCUGAGCCUUGUAGCAAAACAGAGCAGAGUGAACUUGGCGGCUAACUGUGUGGACUUUGGAGAGAGUCAGCUUAUAUUCAAAUCUCAUUUGUGCCACGCAAGAAGAUGGAGAAACUACAGCCCAGAGAGGGGAGUGAUUUUCCCGUUGUUGCACAUCUCAUUAGUGAAGAUGUUAAAGAAGAGUGUCACAUGGAGGAAGAAGGAAACUGAAUCUCUGUGUCUCCAGAAGGCAGUUCUAGGACCAGUGCAUGGGAAUUUCAGGGAACAGAUAUGGGUUCAUGUUAAGGAAAAUCUUGCUAAGUGAGCUGCUCAAUGCUGCUUUUAAAGAUGAGCAAACUGAGUCUCAGUUGCUAUGUCCAGCAUCACAGUAGGUACUAAGUAAAUGGAGGCACCAAGAUAUCCACUCAGGUUUGACUUCAAGUCCAUGCUAUAGAAUCACAAAGGACAGCAAUGCUCAUAUCAUGAUGGAUCAGCCUCUCAGAGGAAAACUCUGAAAGCAGGUAAAUUCUUUACCCAGUGGAUGAAGGCUCAGGAGGACCUCCCCAGUGGAUUAAGAAAUGGAGUCUGUCUUUUUCUUUUUACCUAGUGUUGCAGCCUUCACAUCUGGAUCAAGCACCAUUUCUCUCUCUCUCUCUUUUUUAAUACAGGGUCUGGCUCUAUAGCCCAUGCUGGAGUGCAGUGGUGAGAUCUUGGCUCACUGCAACCUCUACCUCCCAGGCUCAAGACAUCUUCCCACUUCAACCUCCCCCGUAGCUGGGACUACAGGCAUGUGCCACCACACCUGGCUAAUUUUUGUAUUUUUAGUAGAGACAGGGUCUCACUUUGCUCCCCAGGCUGUUCUCAAACUCCUGAGCUCAAGAGAUCCCCCGACCUCGGCCUCCCAAAAUGCUGGGAUUACAGCUGUGAGUCACCACGCCUGGCCCCAACCAGUAAUUCUUAGGUAAGAGAGAGAGGUGCACCAGGGAUGCUGGUAGGAAAAGGAAUUCAAGUCCUACUAAUAAUACAAUAUUAAUGCUCUCACAGAUCUAAGAGAGCUCCUAAUCAACAUUUUAUUUUCAUUUUGGGGGUAUUUGAGGCCCUAAAAGGGAAAAUGAAGAGCUAUUUGAAGUCUUGGCCAAUAACUUCAAUGAUCCAUUCUCUUCAAUCAGAACCAGUGCUUGGCCACUAGAGAAAAAGUACAUACAGUUACAAAUUGAUGGUCAAGUUGCCAACUGCCAUUUAUUGGGAAGUAUCAAUAUGGUACUUCUGUCUCUGAGCUCACCAUACUGGCUACUGGCACCAUUGAGCUCAUGAGUCAAGUUAUGGUUCUACCUGACUAGUUAUUUCACUGUUUUCUGAACAUUUUCCUCAUCCUUCGCUCUCUCACGGAAUAAUUUUCCUUGCUUCCAGUCUAAAAUGAAGCAAAAAUUAAGCCUCAAAGAAACUGUUUACCUCUGUGAGACAGUGUAGUGAAUUCUUAUAAUUUUAAGUUGCCUCAGCAUCCAUUUUGAAUACAAGUUUAAGUUUCUCAUACCAAGAGCAGCAAUCAAUUGCCCUUGACACAGUUUCAAGUUCCACAUGACACACAAAUGGCUCAAGCUAGUGGCCAGAGAUAAAACUUAGAGGCAUCCCUCCUUCCUAGCAGGCUAGACCCCUCGCUUUCUGCACCUCCUGUAAAUAGACUUUUAGGCAUUUGCCUGCAUACUUAAAGUGACCCACACCCUAUUUCCUUAUAUAUACUGCUAGUUGUCAUGUGUUGUCUCUUUCUCUUCCUGAAUUUUCAUUUCUACCUCCCAUGACCCAUGACCUGGGGCCAGAAGACUGCCCUGCGAACUCAUUGAGCACUCCCUGCCCAGAAUCUGCAGGGAUACCCCUCAUCUCCUUGGUUGACUGACAGACUUCAGUUCGGGUUGUGCUUCAAGAACCAGCACAAAUGGCACCUCCUUUAUUCAGUUAUUUACCUGAACUCCCACAAUAGAGUGAAAUUUGCACAUACCUUAAUCAGAACAAAUGGAUUUCUGUAGAUAUUCCUUGGAUUUGUUAUGGAUUUAUGCUUGUGCAUCAUGAGCCUAUUGAAGCAGAUUCGACAGGCCUCUGUGCUGGCAGCUUCAGAAAUGCCUUUGGGCUUGUCACAUGUUGAAAACUCCCAACUGGCUGUCUGAAUUGGCAACCAUGCUUUGGCUCACUGGAGAGAAGAGAGAAAUGGUGCUUUUUGUCCAUCUACUGAUAACCUCUCAUGGCAGAUCAAAGGAACCAGGUUUUGAUGACUUACAGCUCACACAAGGUCAUCCUGGGAAAACAGAUCCUGAGAAGUACUGCAGAGCUUGUGAAGUACUGCACUGGCUGGUGUCUGGAUUCUAGAGUUUAUGAUCUGCUCCAAAGCCAGAGAGGUGAUGACUAGAAGUGCAGAAAAUCCUGGAGAUCCUGGAUGUGGAGGAGCCACAUGAUGGAAGGAAUGUGGAUCCAAUCACUCUUGGAGAAGAGCCACUGACUGGAAUUGGACUGUGAGAAAAUCUUGGAUCAAGAGUGGGAAGAGUCCUCAAGAAAAUAUCUAGUUUAACUACCCAACUCACAGAUUAAGAAACAGAGGCCCAGGAGGAGGUGUGGAAUUGCCUGUGGUUGUCCAGCCUGUUAGGAGGCAGAACUUAAGGGCUUUGUAUACAGUCUAGUGGGCCUCACAGGUCACAUACAUCCUCCUCUAUCUGGCUGCUCCAAACUGUAUGAAUGCAAACAGCAUGAGAAUAUCUUGUGGUAGUAAUUAAGUCACUAACAGAAAUUCUCCAGCUUGGGUACCUAAACCUGGCUAACCAUUAUUUGAACUAGAUAAAAACCAGAUACACAAAUCCCACUCUAGGAGAUGCUGAUUUGGAAGCUUAGGCGUUGAGCCCAGAAAUCUCUACUUUAAAAAGAGCUCGGCCGGGCGCGGUGGCUCACGCCUGUAAUCUCAGCACUUUGGGAGGCCGAGGCGGGUGGAUCAUGAGGUCAGGAGAUCGAG